rnacentral:lncRNA from 1 species
AUUUAUUAUGGAUUCUUGGUGGUUUCUCUUGAUAUGGAUGGAUAUAUUCAGAAUGGUUAUAUGUAUGAUCAUACAUAUGUGUGCGUGUAGGAUUGUGACUGUGUGAGUUGAUAUAAAUAUGUGAAGUGUAAAGUGUGUAUCUGGGCCGCCUGCUUGGGUGGAGGGAUGAAAACCCGAAUGGUUGUGUGUGUUGGCCCAUCUGCUUGGGUCAGGGGGUGAAAACUUGAAUGGUUGUGUGUGUUGGCCUGCCUGCUUGGGUCGAGGGGUGAAAACCCGAAUGGUUAUGUGUGUAUUGUGCAUAUGUUUGUUGCCAGUAGAAUAUGCCAUAAGGGAUUGGUGUGGUUGUGGCCUUUAUAUUGUUGGUUAUAUACUUGUUGAAUAAUUCUUAACUUCACCAUAAGGAGGAGGGUGAGCAAGGAUUACCUGGGCAUGUUAUGGAGCAUUUUUGGGUAAGGGAUUGAGGAGUAGGUGUUAAUGAGUAUUGACAGAAGCUAUGAAAUUAGAAAUUAAAGGUUGAUGAUCAGAAUGAAGCGUGAAUGAGACCCAAAAGAGAUUGAAAUGGUAAAUGAGAUGAAUUUAGGAAAUGUGAAGAAUGGGCAGACAGUGUAGGAUGUUGGAAUGUAAGGCGAGAGAGAGUUUGGUAUAAUAAUUUCAAUUCGCUUGUUUUGAUUUACAAAUUCUACUUAUUGGGCAUAUGUAGCUCAUUAUUUUAUUAUCAUAGGAUAGGUAAAGCGGGAGCAAGAUCAAGAAGUAUUGGAGACAAACCACACUACUUGAAGUGUGUAAUGACAUUUUUUUAGCUAUAGUGGACUUUGAUUUCGUGAGGAAUAUACCAAAAUAAUACUUAUAUAACCGAAACAAAAAUUGGUUUCUUUUUCUUAUUGGAAGAACUUACCAUUAGAAUUAUGCAGGACAAU